GAGUUUGAUCUUGGCUCAGGAUGAACGCUGGCGGCGUGCCUAAUACAUGCAAGUCGAGCGAACGGACGAGAAGCUUGCUUCUCUGAUGUUAGCGGCGGACGGGUGAGUAACACGUGGAUAACCUACCUAUAAGACUGGGAUAACUUCGGGAAACCGGAGCUAAUACCGGAUAAUAUUUUGAACCGCAUGGUUCAAAAGUAAAAGACGGUCUUGCUGUCACUUAUAGAUGGAUCCGCGCUGCAUUAGCUAGUUGGUAAGGUAACGGCUUACCAAGGCAACGAUGCAUAGCCGACCUGAGAGGGUGAUCGGCCACACUGGAACUGAGACACGGUCCAGACUCCUACGGGAGGCAGCAGUAGGGAAUCUUCCGCAAUGGGCGAAAGCCUGACGGAGCAACGCCGCGUGAGUGAUGAAGGUCUUCGGAUCGUAAAACUCUGUUAUUAGGGAAGACAUAUGUGUAGUAACUGUGCACAUCUUGACGGUACCU
rnacentral:rRNA from 1 species